AUUGAACGCUGGCGGCAGGCCUAACACAUGCAAGUCGAGCGGAUGAAGGGAGCUUGCUCCUGGAUUCAGCGGCGGACGGGUGAGUAAUGCCUAGGAAUCUGCCUGGUAGUGGGGGAUAACGUCCGGAAACGGGCGCUAAUACCGCAUACGUCCUGAGGGAGAAAGUGGGGGAUCUUCGGACCUCACGCUAUCAGAUGAGCCCAGGUCGGAUUAGCUAGUUGGUGGGGUAAAGGCCUACCAAGGCGACGAUCCGUAACUGGUCUGAGAGGAUGAUCAGUCACACUGGAACUGAAACACGGUCCAGACUCCUACGGGAGGCAGCAGUGGGGAAUAUUGGACAAUGGGCGAAAGCCUGAUCCAGCCAUGCCGCGUGUGUGAAGAAGGUCUUCGGAUUGUAAAGCACUUUAAGUUGGGAGGAAGGGCAGUAAGUUAAUACCUUGCUGUUUUGACGUUACCAACAGAAUAAGCACCGGCUAACUUCGUG
rnacentral:rRNA from 1 species